rnacentral:rRNA from 1 species
GCACCUCGAUGUCGGCUCAGUCACAUCCUGGGGCUGAAGUAGGUCCCAAGGGUAUGGCUGUUCGCCAUUUAAAGUGGUACGCGAGCUGGGUUUAGAACGUCGUGAGACAGUUCGGUCCCUAUCUGCCGUGGGCGCUGGAGAACUGAGGGGGGCUGCUCCUAGUACGAGAGGACCGGAGUGGACGCAUCACUGGUGUUCGGGUUGUCAUGCCAAUGGCACUGCCCGGUAGCUAAAUGCGGAAGAGAUAAGUGCUGAAAGCAUCUAAGCACGAAACUUGCCCCGAGAUGAGUUCUCCCUGACUCCUUGAGAGUCCUGAAGGAACGUUGAAGACGACGACGUUGAUAGGCCGGGGUGUGUAAGCGCAGCGAUGCGUUGAGCUAACCGGUACUAAUGAACCGUGAGGCUUAACCUUACAACGCCGAAG